rnacentral:rRNA from 1 species
UAAGACGUAGGGAGCGAGCGUUGUCCGGAUUCAUUGGGCGUAAAGAGCGCGCAGGCGGUUUGGUAAGUCGGAUGUGAAAACCCGGGGCUCAACCCCGGGCGUGCAUCUCGAUACUGCCCGACUAGAGGUAGGUCGGGGAGAUCGGAAUUCCUGGUGUAGCGGUGAAAUGCGCAGAUAUCAGGAGGAACACCGGUGGC